rnacentral:lncRNA from 1 species
CGGGGCCUCGCGUGGUCCCGCCCCCGGCGCCGCUGCGCGCUGACGUCGCGCGCGGCCGGUGCGAGCGGGGUGGCGGCGCGCGGCGAUGGGGCAGCCCCGGCGGCGCCGCGCUCGGCCGGUGAGUGCGGGGCGGGGCGGGGCGGGGCGGGACGCGGCACCGAGCGGCCGGCCGCGGGGCGGCCCGCGGCUGAGGUGGUCCCCGCGGGCCGGGCUCUCCGCUCGCCCCCGCCGCUGUCGGGCCGCGCUCCGCCGCCCUCCCGGCCGCCUCCUCUCGCUCCGUGGCCGCGGCCGGCGGGAGCUCGGGGGCGCGGGGGCGGCCGGGGCCGGGGGCGCCUCCCGGCGGCCUCGGGGCUGGCGCCGACAGCAGCGGCGCGGCGGGGCCGGGGCAGCGGCAGCGGGGGCUCCCGGCGGCCUGCGGGGGCGCCGCUCCUUUGUUCCAGCGAGGCGGCGGCGCCGGCCCGGCCUCCUCCUGGCCCGCUCCGCCAGCUGCCCGCGGCGAGGCGCCCGGGCCGGCUCCCGUCGGCCGGUCCUUCUCUACAAAGAAGUUUUGUUGCCAAGAUUUACUCUGAAAAUGACCUGCACUACUGAAUGCAGCUGUCUGCAAAUGUAAAGCCAACAAAUCAUAUCUCCCUCCCUCCUCUGAAUUUCCUAUUUCCUGUGGAAUUUAUAUGUCGAAGUAUUUUUGAAAACAGAUCUUUAUUGAAGACAUUUGGAUUACAACUGUGAGCAUAUCUAUGCAAAGAGACGAGUGAGUCUGAGCAAUUUUGAGGUAUGUAUGCCUACUAUAUCUUAUAACAAAUGGAUAAUCAAAGUAUGCUACUGAAGUUGGGAAUCAAUGUGUUUGGGGAACAAAACUUUACUCAGUCUGCCCAAGAGUGGGAAGUAACAAAGCCUUAUAAAAGUAUGAUAUCUGAACAGAAUACAAGUUCUUGGAACUUGGGCUCCCUGCUAGCUUUUGGUGAACUAUGUUUAUUCUCACACGUUGGAGAAGGAGGUAGUCAAGGUGGGAAGAUGUGGAAAGAAAAGACCAUCUGAUUAAAGGGGGCAGAUAACUCUAGGUGUACGUUUUCUUGAUUCAGAUUGCUAAAGCUUCUAUGAAUAACAGUGUAGGUCAAUGGACUACACACAUGUACAGUGAGACCAUGCAAGCACCAGCAUAUCCAAAUGAGUUGACCUCAUUUGAACCUGCCAUAGGAAUCCUUGAAAGGUGCCUUUCAGAAGAGCGAAUUGCUUGUGGUGUAUGACCUGAGCCUUCAUUGCUUAACCAUUCAGUUCUCAAACGCUAUGAAGCUCUGUAGAUUUCUUCUUCCGAGCAUCUGACAAACAUUAAAUAGUCACUGAAAUGCACUUGGGAAACAUUGGUUAUUUCUCUGGUUAGGUAAAGAGAAAGCAUUCGGAUCAAGUUUUAAGAUAGCUGCCUUGAAUUGGAAAGCGUCUCUGGAGAAGACUAGAAGUGAAGCAGGGCUUGCUCGCCUUCCUGUGCUCAGUCACAGCACAAUAGUCUUUUGCUCUGUGCAGCUUGCUUAGGAGUUUGUCAUACACUGCAGAGUAUUCGGAGAUUUGAAAUACCUACUUGUGAGGCAGGUGUGUAGCAACUCACAGCAACAGUCUCAGGGCAAUCUGCCUGUAAUGUCCAAGCUAGCGAAGCUGGGACUUCACUCUGUGGCUGUGCAGUUUUGUCACACCCAGGUAACGGAAGAUGGAGAAACUUUCCUGUUUAAGAAUUGCAGAACGUUUGCCAGCUUGCUCAGCUGCAUUUUUAUCUUAAGGCUUUUAGCUGUAAUUUCACAUUGAAUACUAAAGCUGGAACGAGGAGGUCAGCUAAUCUCUUCAGUGUGGGCUUGAAAGAGGUUAGUGUGCAUUGAUACUAUCUGCUCUUUCAUAAGUUACUUGGAAAUGUCUCUCCUGUGGGAUGUAGGUAGGUGUUCAUGCUAAUAUUUCUGGGCCAUGGCAGUCUAUCAAUUAAUUACAGGUUACAGUGACAGUCAGUCAAACAUCUCAGUUUUAUAGAAGACUGGACUAUUCAUCAGCCUUUCUUUAAUGAAAAGGAACAUGCUGAAAGUAGAUACUUGACUGAGUACUCUGGCAUGCUCUGCAGAUGCACAAUGUGUCUUAAGCAGACAAGCUUUUCUAAAGAGCUUUCAUUUGUGAGCUCCAUUGACUGAAGCGGGGAUGGUACAGGAGGAAGGGACUCUUAACCUGCCUUAAUGGCGCAAUGUUAUUGUUCCUGUAACAGGAACACAAAGUGGACUGAAUAAAAUAGCUGAUAGUGGUGUGCUGUUGUUGAGAAGGGGACCCUUCUCAUGGCUGCCGUUAUCCCUCCUGUUAUUCCCCUGAAAGCAGAGUUAGGAUCUACAAGCUUGUUAAAUUUCUCUGUUACACAUGGGCAGAACUUACUGCAAGAAACUUCAGAGGGGUUCCUCAGUCUAGCCUGGGCAUUGUUAUUUGUCUAUGGUACUAUACCAAAAUACCAUUUGGCAGAAAAGUGUUUGUUUCCCAUGAGCUGGUUUCAUGAAAACUGGAGAAACACACUAGUGAAAUAUUUUGCAGAGCUGUCUAUAUCUUAGUAUGUGUUCUAGAUAGUGUGGCAGGGACUUAGAUUAGGGAUUUGUUUUGUAUUCUUUAAACUAGGUGCCAUUUUAAUCAUAUAUAAACAAACUAUGGUCUUUGUAAUUCCAUCAGUCAAAAUUGAUGCAUGUUGCCCAAAAAUGCUGUUGUUCUGUGAAAAAUAUUUAAAUGAACAAUUUUCAGUCUCUCUCUGAAUAUUGCUAAAAUAAUGUAGAUUCUGUUUGGCACAUCCCUAAUCAAGUUACUUUUGUUUCUUUGUCUGUAAGAUGAGAUUGAUCUACCUUCAUAAAACACUCAAUUUCAUGAAAAUCGUCGUUUUAUUUGCAACAACUGUAUUUUCAUUAUUCAAUUUCAUAUGACUAAGAGUGAAUGCUAAUAUGUAGAAUGGCAAUGAAUUUGAGUAUAAAACAAAAUCUUCUUUUGGCAUAAAUAAGUGGUCUGAAAGGUGAAUUUGUACACAAGAGAAAUGUUGCUCUAAAACUACCCUAAAAGGGGACAAAAAAACUUCUAAGAAUGCUAAAGGGCACUGAGAUGUUGAGACAGGUGUCAGUGUCACUGGUUCAACUUGCAUGAUGGGUUGUGAUGAGAAUUUUGCAGACUCCUCCACUUCUGGUUUCUUCAGAGAGAAAUCUAGCAAGUUUCCAUAUUUCUCAGACUUGCAUGUGCUGAUUGGUCUCCCUUAAUAAAUGCUUUAUAGGCCUGUUUUUUUGUCCUGGACUUGUUGACUGUGAUUUUCCUGGAAGUUAAUUGCCAUGGUGAUUGUCCUGUUAGCAAAUAAAUGUGUUUUUUAUGGUUUCUGGGUAUGUUGGUGUGGAGCAGAAAGACUGUAGUCUUUUCUGGGAUCAGUAGAAGUAGCAGACCUGUAGAGGUUUCGUGUUUGUAAAUCACUGCCUGUGGGAGAGAGAUGAAUAAGCAUCUUAUACUUCAGUGGGUAACGGCAGUGAGAAGUAAUAUCACUUGUCCUGUUGGUAGGGAGCAGUGACAGAGCGUGUUGCACUAAGUCUGAGGCUGAAUAAUGAUUACAAUUGGAGAAAUGGAGAAAAAAAAAAAAAGAAAGAAAAACAGCUUUUAUUCAGGGACUCUUAGAGCUGAACUUACUUGAUUCAGGCCUAGAGUGGUUGACUGACUCAGUAACACAAAAGCAUUUUUGAUGGAAAUCUCAGGGUGUGUGGCUGUUGUGAUCCUUCACAAUGUAGGGUUUCAGCUGGGAUAACCUCUAGCUCCAGUCUUUUGCUUUCCUGUUGGUACUGGCUUGCUGUCUGUGCUGCACCUGAGCUCUGCUGUCUGCUUUUAGCCCCUUAAUGCUGGGGCAGUGAGCUGGGUUUCCAGCUGAACCUGUCCACACCAGUGCUGGGGCAUGGGAGCCAUAGCUCACUGCAGACCUGACAGGUGGGUGUGUUUGUGCUUACACCAAGUGCGAGGUCAAUGCAAAUAGAUCUCAAAGGCAAGACAUACUUACCUGUGUUUUUGCUAAGGGAAAGCCAAGGUUGGGAUGGCUCGGGGGAUGUUAAUUAGCUUUUUUUUUUUUUUUUUUCCCCUUUGCUGUGGAAGAGCAUGUGAGUCUUCUGGAGCAGCAGCUUGGUCUGUAGAGUGAUGCUAUGGACAGCAGCGAGGGCUUGUUGCAGUGUGGUGGGGGUGGGAAGGCUGUGACAAACUGCAGCCUUCUGGUCUGCAGGGUUGUGUUCAUCCUGCUCACACUUGUGCUGUGGGUGGUGGUGUUCAGGUGUUCAGAGGGUUUGUUCUGGAAGAGUAACUGGGUGUUAAGUUUUGGUUCUGGUUUGGCAAAGUCAUUUAAAUGCUUCCAGCUUGUGGGAGGAAAAACAAACUAGUUGUUGUUUUAGGGUUGGUUUAACUCCUUUAUGAGUGUCCCAAGCUCUCCUCUCUAAGAGGAGUCUGGUGUAGCCAAAGCAAUCUAAGGAAACAUUUGUUUGAAAAAGCCGAAUGUGUGUGUGUGUGUGU